rnacentral:rRNA from 1 species
UACAGAGGGGGCAAGCGUUGUUCGGAAUUACUGGGCGUAAAGGGCGCGUAGGCGGCCUCUUAAGUCGAACGUGAAAUCCCCGGGCUCAACCCGGGAACUGCGUCCGAUACUGGGAGGCUUGAAUCCGGGAGAGGGAUGUGGAAUUCCAGGUGUAGCGGUGAAAUGCGUAGAUAUCUGGAGGAACACCGGUGGCGAAGGCGGCAUCCUGGACCGGUAUUGACGCUGAGGCGCGAAAGCCAGGGGAGCAAAGCGGG